CUAUUCUCGUCGCUAAUGAUGCUGUAAUAACCAAAAUCAAAAGAAGGGUGCAACGUAGAAGAUGAAGAGAACACAUCAAGCAAACGUCAGGAUCAAAACAAGACUGCAUAUAUAUGGACCCAGCCAACGCAAACUCUCGGCUUCCUGAGAAACACUCUGCGCAUCAUCAGUUGCAUUGCGAUGAAUUCAGCUACAGAGCUUACUUUCAGCUUCAACUUUUGUUCGAAUUUGGGAGGUGCAAAGUUGAAUUGUAGGGAAGAGAGGACAAGAUAAAAGCAGGAAACAGAAGAUACCAAUGCAAGGCUUUUACAGAAAUUUCGGACGAAGAUGCCCAGAUUCGCUGUGAAGCUUACUUCUUCCUUGCAUCCAAAGGGAAAAGGCGCGCCGGUCGGCCGGUGCCUUCUCUUCGCCAGUGUAGGCGCCUGCCUGCCGCUCCAUGACCACUCGUUCUAGUGUUCAUUUCCGCGCACAGAGACCAACGCAGCAUUGCUUUCCUCAAAGAUGCAUGGCCAGAGUUCCACAUCUGCAGCAUCUCUCUUUUGAUGAAGGUGUCUUGAGGAAUAAUUUCACCUUUAGCUUUUAACUAUGGACUCUUUUUAAACUAAAGAUGAUGUUUGGAGUGUUUGGGCUCGAGCUGGAAUGGAACUGCACGCUAGUUUCACUGUGUACUGGUCUCUCUCACCCACUGCUCGAUCGCCUGGCUACCUGUGUGGCACUACUUCCUAGCUAGCUAAAAGCCAUGCAUGGCCUGUGAGUAGCUGUGCCACCAUGUCUUCUGUGUACAAGACUA
rnacentral:lncRNA from 7 species